rnacentral:rRNA from 1 species
CCUACGGGAGGCAGCAGUGGGGAAUAUUGGGCAAUGGGCGCAAGCCUGACCCAGCAACGCCGCGUGAAGGAAGAAGGCUUUCGGGUUGUAAACUUCUUUUAUCAGGGACGAAGCAAGUGACGGUACCUUAGGAAUAAGCCUCGGCUAACUACGUGCCAGCAGCCGCGGUAAUACGUAGGAGGCAAGCGUUAUCCGGCAUGACUGGGCGUACAGGGUGCGUAGGUGGUUUGACAAGUUGGUAGCGUAACUCCGGGGCUCAACUUCGGAACUACUACCAAAACUGUUGGACUCGAGUGCAGGAGGGGCAACUGGAAUUUCUAGUGUAGCGGUGGAAGGCGUAGAUAUUAGGAAGAACACCGGUGGCGAAGGCGAGUUGCUGGACUGUAACUGACGCUGAGGCACGAAAGCGUGGGGAGCAAACAGGAUUAGAUACCCGUGUAGUC